rnacentral:rRNA from 1 species
CUACGUGCCAGCAGCCGCGGUAAUACGUAGGGUGCGAGCGUUAAUCGGAAUUACUGGGCGUAAAGCGAGCGCAGACGGUUACUUAAGCAGGAUGUGAAAUCCCCGGGCUCAACCUGGGAACUGCGUUCUGAACUGGCAGGCUAGAGUGUGUCAGAGGGGGGUAGAAUUCCACGUGUAGCAGUGAAAUGCGUAGAGAUGUGGAGGAAUACCGAUGGCGAAGGCAGCCCCCUGGGAUAACACUGACGUUCAUGCUCGAAAGCGUGGGUAGCAAACAGGAUUAGAUACCCUGGUAGUCCACGCCCUAAACGAUGUCAAUUAGCUGUUGGGCAACUUGAUUGCUUAGUAGCGUAGCUAACGCGUGAAAUUGACCGCCUGGGGAGUACGGUCGCAAGAUUAAAACUCAAAGGAAUUGACGGGGACCCGCACAAGCGGUGGAUGAUGUGGAUUAAUUCGAUGCAACGCGAAGAACCUUACCUGGUCUUGACAUGUACGGAACUUCCAGAGACGGGAGAGUGCUUCGGGA